rnacentral:rRNA from 1 species
GACGAACGCUGGCGGCGUGCUUAACACAUGCAAGUCGAACGGAAAGGCCCUGCUUUUGUGGGGUGCUCGUGUGGCGAACGGGUGAGUAACACGUGAGUAACCUGCCCUUGACUUUGGGAUAACUUCAGGAAACUGGGGCUAAUACCGGAUAGGAGCUCCUGCUGCAUGGUGGGGGUUGGAAAGUUUCGGCGGUUGGGGAUGGACUCGCAGCUUAUCAGCUUGUUGGUGGGGUAGUGGCUUACCAAGGCUUUGACGGGUAGCCGGCCUGAGAGGGUGACCGGCCACAUUGGGACUGAGAUACGGCGCAGACUCCUACGGGAGGCAGCAGUGGAGAAUAUUGCACAAUGGGCGGAAGCCUGAUGCAGCAACGCCGCGUGCGGGAUGACGGCCUUCGGGUUGUAAACCGAUUUCGCCUGUGACGAAGCGAGAGUGACGGUAAUGGGUAAAGAAGCACCGGCUAACUACGUG